rnacentral:lncRNA from 1 species
AUUUAAUGACCGAUCCCUAAUUAGGCUGACGUGUGGCGCGCAAAAAGAACCAGGUCUAUAGCCUAUAGGUCUACGAUAGCUGAAUAACUAUAUAUUAAUAGGCUUGGUUCCAGUCGGACCAGGUCGUACCGAGCUAUACAACCAUGCGAUUACGGGUCUCUGAAUCGAUUAAUACCUAUCAUAUACUUACUCUAGUGAUAUUUAUGUGUGAUAUUGAACUGCAAAGUGAUGGUCGUGCAAACAACUAGAAAAUACUUUAUUAAACAAUAAAAUACUGUACAUAAAUAAUCAAGUUACAAAAAAUUCAUCGCACGCUUCUUCGUGUGUAUGUGUGUAGAAAAGUAAAAAUUGUUUAUUAAAUAAUACUAUGCUCCAGAGCCAUUUGUAUCUAUUUUUCUAUCAUAGUUAAUUUGAAAACCUCGUGUAUCAGUGUAUGUGAUAUUUAUAAUUAAUAAAUAUUUAUAAUAUAGCAUUUGUAAAUUCUGAACGCUGAUUGGCUAAGAGCCGUGUUGACAUACACUGUAACGGAAUGUCAACACGGAAAAUUUCUUUCUUUACAUUU